AGCUUUGUGCAGUGGCAGUAUCGUAGCCAAUGAGGUUUAUCUGAGACGCAAUAAUUGCUCAUUGU
rnacentral:snRNA from 1 species